rnacentral:lncRNA from 1 species
AAAAAAUUUAACAUGACAAUUCUGUACAUGUUUGUCUUUCCAGCUCUAUUCAACUCUGGAAAUACAGUCCAUUUGGAACUUGAUAGCACUUUCGAGUUUUAUAGGAUGUCAGCUUUCUUAAAGGCAGAAGAGUCCACAAAGAUAUGAGAAGCAUAGAGGUGGAGCAACAGGAAAUCUCGUCACUGCUGGUGAGAAUGAGAAAUGGUUCAGCUGCCUUGGAAAGCAGUUUGGAAGUUUCUUACAAAACUAAACAGACUCCUGUCAUAUGACACAGCAGGGAAGUUCUUUGGUAUUUGCUAAAAACAAAACAAACAAAACUUAAACUAGGGACUUCCCUGGCAGUCCAGUGGUUAACACUCCAGGUUUCCAAUGUACAGGGUGUGGGUAUUUCUAGUUAGGGGAGCU